GAACGCUGGCGGCAUGCCUUACACAUGCAAGUCGAACGGCAGCACGGGUGCUUGCACCUGGUGGCGAGUGGCGAACGGGUGAGUAAUACAUCGGAACGUACCUUAUCGUGGGGGAUAACGCAGCGAAAGCUGUGCUAAUACCGCAUACGCCCUGAGGGGGAAAGCGGGGGAUCGAAAGACCUCGCGCGAUUAGAGCGGCCGAUGCCUGAUUAGCUUGUUGGUGGGGUAAAAGCCCACCAAGGCGACGAUCAGUAGCUGGUCUGAGAGGACGAUCAGCCACACUGGGACUGAGACACGGCCCAGACUCCUACGGGAGGCAGCAGUGGGGAAUUUUGGACAAUGGGGGGAAACCCUGAUCCAGCAAUGCCGCGUGAGUGAAGAAGGCCUUCGGGUUGUAAAGCUCUUUUGUCAGGGAAGAAACACCGGCUCUAACACAGUCCGGGAAUGACGGUACCUGAAGAAUAAG
rnacentral:rRNA from 1 species